UGGGGAAUAUUGCACAAUGGGGGGAACCCGUGAUGCAGCGACGCCGCGUGAGUGAAGAAGUAUUUCGGUAUGUAAAGCUCUAUCAGCAGGGAAGAAAAUGACGGUACCUGAAUAAGAAGCCCCGGCUAACUACGUGCC
rnacentral:rRNA from 1 species